CUGUCCGUCUGUUCUCUGUCUGUCUCGUGUGGCUGGUCUCCGCCUGUCUCAUGUAUGGUCUCCACUCUGUCUUUCUGUCUCUCUCUGUGUCUGUCUGUCUUGCUGUCUGUCUGGUCUCUGUCUGUCCUGUGUGUGUGUGUGUGUGUGGUAUCCGUCUGUUGGAUUUAGUCACUUUUUUAGUCUCAACAUAAAUGGAUGAUUUUAAAGUUGAUUAGUCUUGAUGCGUCUGAUUUCUGCAGGAAAUUGUGGUACCUUAUUUUGAAAUGGCUUUAAUUUAAAAAUAAAAUUUUGGUCUUGAAUUUGAUUUAUCAUAGUUGCAACUUGGACUGUUGACAAACGUGGUAGCUGAUGAGUCAUGUAGUAAAUGCAUCAGAGUUUUCUGUAGCUUGUCUAAAGUUCUUUCAAAGUGCUGUAAAAAUGUAGUAACUGAUUAUGAUGAGCUAGACCAGGUCCUUUCUUUAUUCUCAACUGGUAAUUGCUUUGAUAAGAUAACUAGUUCCUGAUUUGAUUACGAAGCUAAACAUUUGAUUUAUAUGCAAGUGGAGUCACAUUAGAUUGUAGGUGUUAUUCAGCCCAUGGAUAAUGUUAUGAUAUACUUUAAAUCUGGCCUUUGUUGGCACAUUUAAGUCUUAAAAUUUCCGCACUGCCAUCAGCCUUUGUAGUCGCUAACUGAAAUCGAAUUCAAUAUUAAGACUGACUUGUCUCACUCGGCCAAGUUUAUUUCCCUCUAAAGGAGUUGAACCUUUUUGUGUUCAUAGUCUUUUUGCGCGUCAUGUUGGGAGGCCUCCCAGCAGGGGAUUUUUAUCUUCCCCUGCAAAACUAUGCGUUACUCGCCUUAGGGAUGCAGAGCUAUCCUGCAUAGUUUCUUUCAUAAAUUAGAUUGUACAGUAGGUUGCAGGAUUAGAGCGCGUUUCUUUUCUUUAGGAGGACACAAACCUGGCAGAGAGACAACUCGGAUUAUUUAAGUGAAAGUUGCGCUAAAUGUUCAAACUUGUUAUCUUUCGAUACGAUGACUUGAAGUAAAAGCUUUAUUCUGUGGGCUGAAUUCAGACAGAAAUCAGACAGAAUUUGGCUUCAUCUUAAUAACUGUUGUGCAAGUACCCUCUUGUAGCAGGAGUGAACAGCUGCAGCUUUUUAAUUUAUUUUUCGUUAUUGGAUUUUUUUUCUUGGAUUGACUUGGUGUCUGGAGCUUUGUGGUUAACAGUGACCAUGUUAAGGUGUAAACACAAGUGGUCUUUUGCCUCUUAUUUGCGAAGCUGGCAGCUGGUUGAAAUGAUAGGACUUUAUGGCUUGCCCAAAGUGGGAUUUUUGAUAGAGCAUAGGGUUAACACCUCACCAUACACUAGCUAUUUAAGCGCAGUGUCGGUAGUCCGUUGUUACCCAUGACUUUCUUUCAACUUUCAUUAAGAAGAUGCUUAAUCCCAAUGUCUUGGUUGAUGGCAUGAGAAACCGCUCAUCUCAUAGAUGUGUUGGCGAAGUUCCUCCUCUGAUUUUUGUAGACUUGCCCUAAAGUUUCUCUCCGCUUUAACUCUUGUUGAGCUAUGCAUUAAAUGAUUCCUCCAACUUGUCUCCAUAUCAAAUCUUUUUCUCCCUGCAGCCUUCCACCACCCACUGCUGCUGUUGCAUCUGCUAAAGGUAGCCGUAUCCUGAUUCACUGCGUCUUCAUGUGUUGGGUAAGAAGUGUCAUUAGACUACUAACAAUUUAAACACCUUUUAAAUGCUUGAUCUAAUUUACCCAAAUGGUUCAUCAGUUUAGGACAAAAAAUCCUUGAAUUUGACAUUCUUGGGGUCAGUAACCUGACCUCUAAAUGUUUGGGAAACCAUGCAAAAGAUCGUAAGCUCUCUGCAUGACCCAACAGCAUCGAUGUUUGAGUUAUUUAAUUGCUCAAUUUUUAAAUCAGUCAAGAUUUUAUGAGCUGGGUCUACUUCACACAACCGAGAACAAGGUAAAUUGAGUCGACUCGUAACAUGGUAGGGCAUUUCGUCCUUCCCCUUCUUCUCUGUGUGUGAGGAAAUCUGGCCACGGAUCCUGACUGAGUGGCAUACCAUGGCUGUGCAGUUUCCAAAAUCAGACAAGGAUCCAUCUGAUUUUGUGACUCUGCUUGUCAUGAUAUGCAUGUAUCUUCCUCCAAAACAAAGGAUUGGAAUGGACAGGUUUGUAGUGUAAAUCACAUCACAUCACUUGUAGAUGGUGAAGCAUUUGUUUAAAUUGGGAUCAAGCAUUUUCAGGUGUCUGCUUUGUCAAUACUCUGAUGCCACGUCUUGCUAAACACACGAGAAGCUCUGAAUUGUGAAACUGCUGCCUCUUGCAGAUGUUACAACAGCAUUGGCUGUUGAAAGGCUGCAGGGAGAGAAAAUGAGAUCUGAGGACAGGAAAGUGGAAUUGAUUUCAUGCUUAGCAAAAUGAGGGUUUCAGCAGAGGACCUUUUUUGUGGCGAGGCUACGGAAUCAGAAGGAACGUUUGUCUGGGCAACUGGGAGAUUUUACAGUUUUUCAUGCAGCCAACCAAGACAUUGGGGUUAGCAUCAUCCCAAAUGGCUGGCAAAGAUUGCUUGUAACUGUCAGUGUAGGACAGGAAAGGCAGGUAUAGGUUAGGGAGGGCAUCCAUCGCUGAGCUCUGACUGGAUGUGAGGACCUGUCACACUUGACCAGAGAUGAAGGCUGCAGCACAUUCCUGGAUCAGAUGACUCCAUGUUGGACAACACGACCUGUAUAAGUCCCGUCCUGGAUGGCUGCGGUGAUGACCUAGCCCAAGAUGAACUGACCUUUUCCACGGGAUGUCUUCAGAUGUUGGACCUUGCCAAACUGUACACAUGCCUCAAUGGCGGCUACGUCACUCGGCCCAACAGGACAUGGUCACCGAGAUUUUUUUUUUAAAUGGACUUUAACCCCCCCCCGUCCCCACUGACCCACAACCACACAUGACAAAACACUAUACAUGUGAUGCAUCACCACACUAAAAUACAGACACUGCUACUUUCAGCCUGUAAUGUUAGACAUUGAAAA